rnacentral:rRNA from 1 species
GGCUCACCUGUUCCCAUUCCGAACACAGAAGUUAAGCCCACCAGCGCCGAUGGUACUGCGAAAGCGGGAGAGUAGGUCGCCGCCAGUU